rnacentral:rRNA from 1 species
CCCUGCCCUUUGUACACACCGCCCGUCGCUCCUACCGAUUGAACGUGCUGGUGAAGCGUUAGGACUGGAGCAUUACCUAGGUUUCCUAGGUCUUAUUCCGGGAAUUUCGUUGAACCCUCCCGUUUAGA